UACAGAGGCCUCGAGCGUUAGGCGGAAUCACUGGGCUUAAAGCGUGUGUAGGCGGACGUCUAAGUACCUUGUGAAAUCCCACGGCUCACCCGUGGAACUGCUGGGUAUACUGGGCGUCUUGAGCCACCUAGGGGCCAGCGGAACAAAUGGUGGAGCGGUGAAAUGCGUAGAUAUCAUUUGGAACGCCAACGGUGAAAACAGCUGGCUGGGGGUGUGCUGACGCUGAGACACGAAAGCCAGGGGAGCGAACGGG
rnacentral:rRNA from 1 species